rnacentral:rRNA from 1 species
UACAGAGGUCCCGAGCGUUGUUCGGGUUCACUGGGCGUAAAGGGUGCGUAGGUGGCGAUGAAAGUUCGAUGUGAAAUCUCCGGGCUUAACCCGGAAAAGGCAUUGAAAACUAUGUUGCUUGAGGUUUGGAGGGGGGACUGGAAUUCUUGGUGUAGCAGUGAAAUGCGUAGAUAUCAAGAGGAACACCAGUGGCGAAGGCGGGUCCCUGGACAACACCUGACACUGAGGCACGAAAGCUAGGGGAGCAAACAGG